rnacentral:rRNA from 1 species
UUAUGACGUACUUGUACUGAUUGAGAUUUUAACACGAAGUGAGUGGCGAACGGGUGAGUAACACGUGGGUAACCUGCCCAGAAGUAGGGGAUAACACCUGGAAACAGAUGCUAAUACCGUAUAACAGAGAAAACCGCAUGGUUUUCUUUUAAAAGAUGGCUCUGCUAUCACUUCUGGAUGGACCCGCGGCGUAUUAGCUAGUUGGUGAGGUAAAGGCUCACCAAGGCAGUGAUACGUAGCCGACCUGAGAGGGUAAUCGGCCACAUUGGGACUGAGACACGGCCCAGACUCCUACGGGAGGCAGCAGUAGGGAAUCUUCCACAAUGGACGCAAGUCUGAUGGAGCAACGCCGCGUGAGUGAAGAAGGGUUUCGGCUCGUAAAGCUCUGUUGUUAAAGAAGAACGUGGGUAAGAGUAACUGUUUACCCAGUGACGGUAUUUAACCAGAAAGCCACGGCUAACUACGUGCCAGCAGCCGCGGUAAUACGUAGGUGGCAAGCGUUAUCCGGAUUUAUUGGGCGUAAAGCGAGCGCAGGCGGUCUUUUAAGUCUAAUGUGAAAGCCUUCGGCUCAACCGAAGAAGUGCAUUGGAAACUGGGAGACUUGAGUGCAGAAGAGGACAGUGGAACUCCAUGUGUAGCGGUGAAAUGCGUAGAUAUAUGGAAGAACACCAGUGGCGAAGGCGGCUGUCUGGUCUGCAACUGACGCUGAGGCUCGAAAGCAUGGGUAGCGAACAGGAUUAGAUACCCUGGUAGUCCAUGCCGUAAACGAUGAUUACUAAGUGUUGGAGGGUUUCCGCCCUUCAGUGCUGCAGCUAACGCAUUAAGUAAUCCGCCUGGGGAGUACGACCGCAAGGUUGAAACUCAAAAGAAUUGACGGGGGCCCGCACAAGCGGUGGAGCAUGUGGUUUAAUUCGAAGCUACGCGAAGAACCUUACCAGGUCUUGACAUCUUCUGACAGUCUAAGAGAUUAGAGGUUCCCUUCGGGGACAGAAUGACAGGUGGUGCAUGGUUGUCGUCAGCUCGUGUCGUGAGAUGUUGGGUUAAGUCCCGCAACGAGCGCAACCCUUAUUACUAGUUGCCAGCAUUAAGUUGGGCACUCUAGUGAGACUGCCGGUGACAAACCGGAGGAAGGUGGGGACGACGUCAAAUCAUCAUGCCCCUUAUGACCUGGGCUACACACGUGCUACAAUGGAUGGUACAACGAGUCGCGAGACCGCGAGGUUAAGCUAAUCUCUUAAAACCAUUCUCAGUUCGGACUGUAGGCUGCAACUCGCCUACACGAAGUCGGAAUCGCUAGUAAUCGCGGAUCAGCAUGCCGCGGUGAAUACGUUCCCGGGCCUUGUACACACCGCCCGUCACACCAUGAGAGUUUGUAACACCCAAAGCCGGUGGGGUAACCUUUUAGGAGCUAGCCGUC